UGGCUCAGGAUGAACGCUAGCGGCAGGCCUAAUACAUGCAAGUCGAACGGUAAGGUCUCUUCGGAGAUACACGAGUGGCGCACGGGUGAGUAACGCGUAUGCAACCUACCUUGAACUGAGGGAUAGCCCAGAGAAAUCUGGAUUAAUACUUCAUAAUAAUAUAAAUUGGCAUCAAUUAAUAUUUAAAGCUCCGGCGGUUUAAGAUGGGCAUGCGUGACAUUAGUUAGUUGGUGAGGUAACGGCUUACCAAGACAGCGAUGUCUAGGGGUUCUGAGAGGAUUUUCCCCCACACUGGUACUGAGACACGGACCAGACUCCUACGGGAGGCAGCAGUAAGGAAUAUUGGGCAAUGGACGAAAGUCUGACCCAGCCAUGCCGCGUGCAGGAUGACAGCCCUAUGGGUCGUAAACUGCUUUUAUAUGGGAAGAAACCCCUCUACGUGUAGAGGGCUGACGGUACCAUACGAAUAAGGAUCGGCUAACUCCGUGCCAGCAGCCGCGGUAAUACGGAGGAUCCAAGCGUUAUCCGGAUUUAUUGGGUUUAAAGGGUGCGCAGGCGGCCUAAUAAGUCAGUCGUGAAAUCUCUCGGCUCAACCGAGAAACUGCCAUUGAUACUGUAGGUCUUGAGUCUAGUUGAGGUAGGCGGAAUGUGUCAUGUAGCGGUGAAAUGCUUAGAUAUGACACAGAACACCGAUUGCGAAGGCAGCUUACUAAACUGUUACUGACGCUGAGGCACGAAAGCGUGGGGAGCGAACAGGAUUAGAUACCCUGGUAGUCCACGCCGUAAACGAUGAAUACUCGCUGUUAGCAAUACACAGUUAGCGGCUAAGCGAAAGCAUUAAGUAUUCCACCUGGGGAGUACGUUCGCAAGAAUGAAACUCAAAGGAAUUGACGGGGGCCCGCACAAGCGGAGGAACAUGUGGUUUAAUUCGAUGAUACGCGAGGAACCUUACCUGGGCUUAAAUGUAUUCUGAUUUUACUGGAAACGGUAUUUCCCUUCGGGGCAGAUUACAAGGUGCUGCAUGGUUGUCGUCAGCUCGUGCCGUGAGGUGUCGGGUUAAGUCCCAUAACGAGCGCAACCCCUAUUCUUAGUUGCCAGCGGGUAAUGCCGGGGACUCUAAGGAGACUGCCAGUGUAAACUGUGAGGAAGGUGGGGAUGACGUCAAAUCAGCACGGCCCUUAUGUCCAGGGCUACACACGUGUUACAAUGGUCGAUACAGAGGGCAGCUACCAUGUGAAUGGAUGCAAAUCUCGAAAAUCGAUCUCAGUUCGGAUCGAAGUCUGCAACUCGACUUCGUGAAGUUGGAUUCGCUAGUAAUCGCAUAUCAGCCAUGAUGCGGUGAAUACGUUCCCGGGCCUUGUACACACCGCCCGUCAAACCAUGGAAGCCGGGGGU
rnacentral:rRNA from 1 species